CAAUAGCGUAUAUUAAAGUUGUUGCAGUUAAAAGCUCGUAGUUGGAUCUCGGGUCCAGGCUUGCGGUUCUGCUUGUGCAGAUACUACUUGUCCUGACCUACCUGCCGGUUUUCCCUUGGUGCCCUUGAUUGGGUGUCUCGGGUGGCCGGAACGUUUACUUUGAAAAAUUAGAAGUGUUCAAAGCAGGCAAGCUCGCCUGAAUAAUGGUGCAUGGAAUAAUAGAAAAGGACCUCGGAUCUAUUUUGUUGGUUUUCGGUAAUCUUGAGGUAAUGAUUAAGAGGGACAGACGGGGCGAUUCGUAUUACGGUGUUAGAGGUGAAAUUCUUGGAUCGCCGUAAGACGAACUACUGCGAAAGCAUUUGCCAAGAAUGUUUUCAUUAAUCAAGAACGAAAGUCAGAGGUUCGAAGACGAUUAGAU
rnacentral:rRNA from 1 species